rnacentral:RNase_P_RNA from 1 species
UGGGGUGACUGGAUAGUCGCUCUAUGUGAGAGGAAAGUCCGGGCUUCACAGGGCAGGAUGCUCCCUAACGGAGAGGUUUGAUCCGAGUCGGGUCGAACGGAAAGUGCCACAGAAAAUAUACCGCCCGCCACACUACUUGGUGGGUAAGGGUGAAAAGGCGUCUCGCUGCUGCGGGAUUCUCGCCGGUGACGGCGGAAAGGUAAGAGCUCACCGCUCUGGUGGCGACAUCAGAGGUCCCUAACGGGAUUCACGUCCUUUUUGGGACGGAACACGGCAAACCCCAUCCGAAGCAAAACCACGUAGCCCCGUCUGAAGUGGUCCCGCUUCAUCCCACCUCAGGUGGGUACGGGGCGGGUAGGUUGCGUAGAACCCGAUAGUAAUAUCGGGUCAAGAGAAAUGGCUGUCUAAAACAGAACCCGGCUUACGGGUCACCCCACUCA